GCCAACUCAGCCAUUCACGUCUGAAUCUUCCAGUCUACUGCAUUGAUCUAGAUUUCAACUGAGUUGUAUAUCGCCGUUCAUUCUCAAAAAGAGACGGCUUCGGCAUUUGAAGGAAUAAAGUAUUGGAGAGAAUGGCUUCGCAUGAAGAAAGAGAAAAACUGACAAAUGCCAUAUGGGAUAUUAUGCUAGUUAAAUCAAUGAUAGAUGAUGCGUUAAGAGAUGAUCAAUAUAAUAUUAUGAAGAAAUUGAUCUCGGAAGAUAGAAUACCUAUACCGAAACAUUUCCGACAAUUUGUAAGACAGAUUUUCUGUGUAAAAAAGGGUGAUGGUGGAAGAAUUGAAACGCCACGGGAAACUAACAAUUGGCUAAAAAAACAUUUACAUGAAAAUAAUCAUGAAAUUGAAAAUUUAAAUCCGCAAGCAGCAAUGUGUAAUGAUUAUGAGGGGAUUUUUAAUUUCUUAAUUGCUUCAAAGAGUGUAAUUAAAUCAAAACACAAAUCUCUGCUUAAGGAGCAGAUGCGUUAUGGAUAUUUUUUACACCAAUUUUGUAAUAUUCACUAUAAUCAGUAAGUGUUAGGAAGACGAAGCUCAACCAUCCAAACAGUAAUAGCUGAAAACAUAGGUAUUUCUAUGUCUUAUGCUAAUAAAUUGAAAUGGAUUGGUAAAUUAGGGGCUAAAUUUGAAAUCUUAACACAACUGUCCCUUCCAUUAUAUGAAAUUCUUAGAAGACAAAAAAAAAUAACUAAUCUAUUUAAACAUCAUCCCGACCUGGCCGCAGAGUGGAUCCCUGCUCCAGCAUCAGCAGCAGUUCCACAUCCUUCUCAGUUCCUACGACAAUAAUGAGAACUGCAGUAACCAGUAAUUAUAAAGCGAAUAUAGGAGCCGACAAAAAACUUAGACCUAUCCACUCCACCAUUCAUGCAUGCAGUAACCUGUAAUUAUAAAGCGAAUAUAGGAGCCGACAAAAAACUUAGACCUAUCCACUCAACCAUUCAUGCAUGCAGUAACCUGUAAUUAUAAAGCGAAUAUAGGAGCUGAAAAAUUCUAUCUAUCGGCUCUACCAUUCAUGCUCAUGCGUGCCACAACCUGUAAUUAUAAUGGGAAUAUAGGAGUAAACAGCUACCUAUCAGCUCGAGCGUUAUGGUAAUACACGUAUCGAAUAGUGGUUUAAUGCUAGCGUAUUAAUACCAUCUGCUAAUAUAUGUCUUUUGUCAUCAUCACCAUUCAGAGCAAUUUUAUUAAUUUCUUUCGUAUACAAUUCAUGAUUAUCACUUUGG